UACAGAGGUCCCGAGCGUUGUUCGGAUUUAUUGGGCGUAAAGGGUGCGUAGGCGGCGGAGUAAGUUGGGUGUGAAAUCCCGGGGCUUAACCUCGGAAUUGCAUUCAAUACUGCUUCGCUCGAGUACUGGAGAGGAGGCUGGAAUUUACGGUGUAGCAGUGAAAUGCGUAGAUAUCGUAAGGAAGGCCGGUGGCGAAAGCGAGCCUCUGGACAGUUACUGACGCUGAUGCACGUAGGCCAGGGGAGCAAACGGG
rnacentral:rRNA from 1 species